GCCUAGCCCCGAUAGAAGUGGAAAUCCUUUUGUGCCGGGGUUCGGCACAAAAGAUUGUAGCGUAUAGCGGGAUCAGCU
rnacentral:sRNA from 1 species